CGUGUAGGCGGCCAUUCAGGUCAGCUGUGAAAACUCGAGGCUCAACCUCGAGACGUCGGUUGAAACCGUAUGGCUAGAGUCCGGAAGAGGAGAGUGGAAUUCCCGGUGUAGCGGUGAAAUGCGCAGAUAUCGGGAAGAACACCCGUGGCGAAGGCGGCUCUCUGGGACGGUACUGACGCUGAGACGCGAAAGCGUGGGGAGCGAACA
rnacentral:rRNA from 1 species